AGGACGAACGCUGGCGGCGUGCUUAACACAUGCAAGUCGAGCGGAAAGGCCCUUCGGGGUACUCGAGCGGCGAACGGGUGAGUAACACGUGAGCAAUCUGCCCUUAGCUCCGGGAUAGCUCCGGGAAACCGGAAUUAAUACCGGAUACGACCACGGCCGACAUCUGCUGUGGUGGAAAGGAUUCCGGCUAAGGAUGGGCUCGCGGCCUAUCAGCUAGUUGGUGGAGUAACGGCCCACCAAGGCGACGACGGGUA
rnacentral:rRNA from 1 species